rnacentral:rRNA from 1 species
ACUCCUACGGGAGGCAGCAGUGGGGAAUAUUGCACAAUGGGCGCAAGCCUGAUGCAGCCAUGCCGCGUGUGUGAAGAAGGCCUUCGGGUUGUAAAGCACUUUCAGUCGUGAGGAAGGUAGUGUAGUUAAUAGCUGCAUUAUUUGACGUUAGCGACAGAAGAAGCACCGGCUAACUCCGUGCCAGCAGCCGCGGUAAUACGGAGGGUGCGAGCGUUAAUCGGAAUUACUGGGCGUAAAGCGCAUGCAGGUGGUUUGUUAAGUCAGAUGUGAAAGCCCGGGGCUCAACCUCGGAAUUGCAUUUGAAACUGGCAGACUAGAGUACUGUAGAGGGGGGUAGAAUUUCCAGGUGUAGCGGUGAAAUGCGUAGAGAUCUGAAGGAAUACCGGUGGCGAAGGCGGCCCCCUGGACAGAUACUGACACUCAGAUGCGAAAGCGUGGGGAGCAAACAGGAUUAGAUACCCU